rnacentral:rRNA from 1 species
CGAGGCACUAACCAUGCGUGGUCGCAAGGCUGCGUAUGGGUCUCGGAUACCGGCGAGUCAUAACAAUUGAGCGAAUCGUAUGGCCUUUGCGCUGACGAUGCUCCAUUCGAAUUUCUGACCUAUCAACUUUCGAUGGUAGGAUCGGGGCCUACCAUGGUUGUAACGGGUAACGGGGAAUUAGGGUUUGAUUCCGGAGAGGGAGCUUGAGAAACGGCUACCACUUCCAAGGAAGGCAGCAGGCGCGUAAAUUACCCAAUCCCAAUACGGGGAGGUAGUGACAACAAAUAACAAUACAGGUCCCAAAGGGUCUUGUAAUUGGAAUGAGUACAAUUUAAACCCCUUAACGAGGAGCCAGUGGAGGGCAAGUCUGGUGCCAGCAGCCGCGGUAAUUCCAGCUCCACUAGUGUAUAUUAAAGUUGUUGCGGUUAAAAAGCUCGUAGUUGGAUUUCGGGGUUUUUUGGGAGGUUUUGGUCUGCGCUGAGUCGUAUGUACUAACCACCCGGCCCCUAUCCUUCUGGAUGCUCGUUGCUGCUCUUAACUGAGUGGUGAUUAAGGGGAGUAUUGGGAUUCGUUCUCUUUAUUUUCCGGAGUUCCAGAUCGUUUACUUUGAAAAAAUUAGAGUGUUCAAAGCAGGCGGAUUGAGCCUUUGAAUACAUUAGCAUGGGAUAAUGCAUAGGACUCUGUUCCUAUUUCGUUGGUUUCUGGGAAUGGAGUAAUGAUUAAUAGGGAUAGUUGGGGUGAUUCAUAUUUAUUUGUCAGAGGUGAAAUUCUUGGAUUUCAGAAAGAUGAACUUCUGCGAAAGCAUUUCACAAGGAUGUUUUCAUUAAUCAAGAACGAAAGUUGGGGGAUCGAAGACGAUUAGAUACCGUCGUAGUCUCAACCAUAAACCAUGCCGACCAGGGAUUGGAGGAAGUUACCUUAAUGACUCCUCCGGCACCUUGUGAGAAAUCACAAGUGUUUGGGUUUCGGGGGGAGUAUAGUCGCAAGGCUGAAACUUAAAGGAAUUGACGGAAGGGCACCACCAGGAGUGGAACCUGCGGCUUAAUUUGACCCAACACGGGAAAACUUACCAGGUCCGGACAGCAGAAGGAUUGACAGAUUGAGAGCUCUUUCUUGAUUUGCUGGGUGGUGGUGCAUGGCCGUUCUUAGUUGGUGGAGUGAUUUGUCUGGUUAAUUCCGUUAACGAACGAGACCUUAACCUGCUAAAUAGUUACGCUAGCCAUUCUAUUCAGGUCUUCUUUCGGGAUGAUCGGGACGGCUAAGCGGUUAACUUCUUAGAGGGACUAUUCGUUUACAGCGAAUGGAAGUUUGAGGCAAUGACAGGUCUGUGAUGCCCUUCGAUGUUCUGGGCUGCACGCGCGCUACACUGAUGAAGUCAACGAGUUUUUAACCUUGCCCGAAAGGGUUGGGUAAUCUUAUUAAACUUCAUCGUGCUGGGGAUAGAUCAUUGCAAUUAUUGAUCUUCAACGAGGAAUUCCUAGUAAAUGUGAGUCAUCAGCUCGCGUUGAUUACGUCCCUGCCCUUUGUACACACCGCCCGUCGCUCCUACCGAUUGGAUGGUCCGGUGAAGACCUCGGAUUAUCUGGCAUCUGUCUGACUAGGGAAACUUGGUCAGUAAUGCCGGUGAGAAGUCGUCUAAACCUUAUCAUCUAGAGGAAGGAGAAGUCGUAACAAGGUU